rnacentral:rRNA from 1 species
AGCGAACGCUGGCGGCAGGCCUAACACAUGCAAGUCGAACGAAGUCUUCGGACUUAGUGGCGGACGGGUGAGUAACACGUGGGAACGUGCCUUUAGGUUCGGAAUAACUCAGGGAAACUUGUGCUAAUACCGAAUGUGCCCUUCGGGGGAAAGAUUUAUCGCCUUUAGAGCGGCCCGCGUCUGAUUAGCUAGUUGGUGAGGUAAUGGCUCACCAAGGCUACGAUCAGUCGCUGGUCUGAGAGGAGGACCAGCCACAUUGGGACUGGGACACGGCCCAAACUCCUACGGGAGGCAGCAGUGGGGAAUCUUGCGCAAUGGGCGAAAGCCUGACGCAGCCAUGCCGCGUGGAUGAUGAAGGUCUUAGGAUUGUAAAAUCCUUUCACCGGUGAAGAUAAUGACUGUAGCCGGAGAAGAAGCCCCGGCUAACUUCGUGCCAGCAGCCGCCGUAAAAC